rnacentral:lncRNA from 1 species
GGCGCGGGGUGGGCAGAGGGAGGAACAGAGGGGACUCACCAGAGGGUGGGGUGGGCAGGGGGCGGAAGAGAGAGAGUGCUCUCCGGAAGGUGAGCAGAGGGAGAGCCGAGGCCAGGACAUCCUCGAAUGAAGAAAGCACGUACUUCUUUGGCAAAGUUAGCAUAUACAGAGUCAGAGAGAGAGGGGGAGAGAGGGAGAGAGAGAGAGAUAUAGAGACGAAGAGAGAGAGAGCAAAGGAGGAAAGUCGGACCGACCUUCCCAUCUUGGUUCUUGCCGCUUUCUGCCUUCUGUGAUCUGAAGGCUGCUGCGGCCGGCGGAGGGCCGGUCACAGUUGCGUUGGCAGGACCCAGAGACUGGGAGAUUGCCAUCGGUUCACGACGGCGGCCGGAGGAGCUCCCUCUGGACCACGGGUUUCCUCUGGGCGGCCGGUGGGUCUCAGAUGCGAGGAGGAGAGAGAUGACGGGAAGAGACUACUUAUAUAAGUACCUAUAGG